rnacentral:misc_RNA from 1 species
AUCAUAAGAGUUGCAUACAAUAGUGAAAUUACACUAGAAAAUCAAUUGGAAGUACUAGUAAUGUACAUAUUUAAUACACAUUUGAUUCUUUCCAUAACCCUAAUAACACCAAAUGAAAGAACCAAACAGAAACAAAGUAAACCCUAAGAGACAUGUGCUGGUUACCACAGCUUUAUUCCUGAAGCAAUUUACAAAGUCACAACUGUUGUAAGGCAACAAAUCAGUGAGUCUAACCGAGUUGACGAGAAACAGAACGAAUCCUUUUAUACAGUUUCCUCGUCGUGCUCUUCGUGUUACCCUAAUAUAAUAGUUUCUUUACAUCAUUGACAAUUCGACGAAUUCCUUCAAGCGCUAACUUUCUGUGCUUUUGCAUCUGGAGUUUUUAGAAGUUCAGCGUGAUGUUUCCCCUGUUGUUGAGACCAGUAAGCAUGAGCAGCUAAGACUCUGUCCAGAAGUUCCUGGGGAACGGGCUCG